rnacentral:rRNA from 1 species
GUCGAGCGCCUCGCAAGAGGAGCGGCAGACGGGUGAGUAACGCGUGGGAACAUGCCUUUUGGUUCGGAAUAACUCGGCGAAAGCCGAGCUAAUACCGGAUAAGUCCGUAAGGGAGAAAGAUUUAUCGCCGAAAGAGUGGCCCGCGUAAGAUUAGCUAGUUGGUGAGGUACGGUCACCAAGGCUUUGAUCUUUACUGGUCUGAAGGACGAUCAGCCACACUGGGAAUGAACACGGCCAAUCCUACGGGAGGCACAGUGGGGAAUAUUGGACAAUGGGGGCAACCCUGAUCCAGCCAUGCCGCGUGAGUGAUGAAGGCCUUAGGGUUGUAAAGCUCUUUUACCAGGGAAGAUAAUGACUGUACCUGGAGAAUAAGCCACGGCUAACUUCGUGCCAGCAGCCGCGGUAAUACGAAGGGGGCUAGCGUUGUUCGGAAUCACUGGGCGUAAAGCGCAUGUAGCGGGCUAUUAAGUCGGGGGUGAAAUCCCAGGGCUCAACCU